AUAUCUUGGAUCUUGGUAUAUUCCCCAGACCAGAAUUUUAUCUACCUACUAGCAUGAACAUCAUUGUAAUGUGAGGCUCGAGCUGGUGGACCAAGCAACAAAGGAGACGAGAUUCCCACAAAUUAUGUGCAAUUUCCAAGCACAGCAUAGGUAUCUGACAUGGAGACAGAAAAGAUAGGUAACAUUGUGCUUUCUCACAUAUGUCAGGUUAUUGUAUUUAUUUCCCCCAUCUUUGUGUACUGUAGUCGUGAACCUUGUUUGCUAAUGGAUUUGUUAGAUUUAUCUUCUUAAUUCAUGAUGAACUUGUUACGAGUCAUUACUAAAUAAAAAGCAACUGCAAUUCACUCUAGUUACAGGGUGGCGGUUAAAGUGCCGUGUAAACAUUCUCAGAUCAUGGGGAAAUGGUUCGAUUAACACUUUGAUGCACUUUAUUAUUAUUAAUAUUAUUUUGUUUUGUUGAAAACAAAUGCUGCAUACUCAUUAGUCUAUGAUGGUUAUAGCUGUAUAUACGAGUUUAUGUGUCUGUGACAUCCAGAGGUCCAAUUUGCAAUGUUCAUCUUAUCUGAAGUUUAGGAUGUAAUUUGAUUAGGUUCAUUAAAAAGACAAUUCAUGAAACAAAAAUUUAAUAGAAGGCUGAUGGAAAACUCUGAAUAUCAGGAUCCAGGUUAUCAAGUUUUGACAAGACUAAUUAGGAAGACUCCUGCUUAGGAACCAAUUAGAAACUUCCUCUUCAAUGGAGUUGACGAACUUGGAAGCAAAACAUUUGUCAACUACUUUCCAGAGUAUAAGUGUGGGGAUGGAACUAUAAAUUGAAGGGCAGCAUGGUUGGAAAAUCAUUUGAAAGUUGACCCUGGGAUGGUAGAGGAGAAUUUUUUUUAUGAUAAUUAAUUAAUCAUGGAUAGACAUCCUGCAUUUUGAAUCAUCUUCCAUCUUGCUGUCACCAUUAUUAUCCUCUUUUACCUGAUAUCUGAUAUGUAGUUUGCCUUAUCUGCAACAAACUCCUUCCAUCCUAUAAAUCUUGGUCUUCCAUUACAUGAAAGCAAUGCAGAAAUCUCGUGGAAGUUAGUUUGAGAGUAAGCUUAUGUGAUAUUCUCAUAAGCUAUUCGAGUUCAGUUCCUCAUCCAUCCAACUAUGACAGUGCUAAAAGUUUUGCAAGUCUUGCAAGAACAUGGACCCCUCCUUUUUUUAUUUCGUGAUUGAUUGAAGGCGUUGCUGGGUAGAGCUUCCUAUUUGUUAAAGAAUAAAGAUAUAGAAAGAUUGUCGUGAAUAGUCUGAAAAUUUUUCCUCGUACGUUGAUGUACAUUCUUAAUAGUUUGGUUCUCUUUU